rnacentral:rRNA from 1 species
AUACGUAGGUGGCGAGCGUUGUCCGGAAUUACUGGGCGUAAAGGGCGUGUAGGCGGCCUUUUAAGUCAGAUGUGAAAUCUCAGGGCUUAACCCUGAAACUGCAUUUGAAACUGGAGGGCUUGAGGAUCGGAGAGGGCAGUGGAAUUCCCAGUGUAGCGGUGAAAUGCGUAGAUAUUGGGAGGAACACCAGUGGCGAAGGCGACUGCCUGGACGACACCUGACGCUGAGGCGCGAAAGCUAGGGUAGCGAACGGGAUUAGAUACCCCGGUAGUCCUAGCCGUAAACGAUGGGUACUAGGUGUGGGAGGUAUCGACCCCUUCCGUGCCGCAGUUAACACAAUAAGUACCCCGCCUGGGGAGUACGGCCGCAAGGUUGAA